UUGGUAAAUGAUGCGGAAAGAAACACCUCAUACUUCGUAAUGAUGGGGUCGCAGGUUCGAGUCCUGCAAGCGGCACCA
rnacentral:tRNA from 1 species